ACAUAACAUUAUACUUUUUCAAAACUUUCAUAGCAUUAUAGUAUAGAUUUCUACAUUAAACUUUUCGUUUUCUUCUUCUUCUUCUUCAUCCUCUCUCUCCCCCCAUUAAUGGAGGAGUUGGUGAUAGUGUAAUUUUUGGUGGACGUGGUAUAGGUUGCUAGAGCAUUCGCUGUUAUGCUAAGAAGCUUCGCUAUGAUCCUUUACGUUGCCCCUCGCAACGGCCUCCUCUCCGUGGGAAGAGAUCUGCAAAGCUAUCAUUUGUUUGGAUAUUGCGAUAUCGGGAUUGUUUACCACGCACGCCAGCUGUUCGAUGCAUUAUCUUUGAGAAUUAAAAUAGCAUUUACAG